UUUCACCAGUCCAAUCUCAGCAUUCACUCUUUGAAGGUUCCAGUUGUCAUGGGUCUUGGCUUUUCCUGGAUGGAAGGGCACCCUGCCAGAGUUAGCUGUGAGGUUUCAAGCUCAAGCUUCCCAUAACCCACUAAGCAGCCCUGCAUGCUCCUCCAUGCUCAGCUAUUAUGAACUGUCCCACCUCCUCACUGGUGGAGUUCUGGGCUUGUUUCUGAACUGGGCAAAAUAUCAGUGAGUGUGGACCUGGAGGAGUGAGGUUGGAGGGAGCCUCACCUGGAACUGUUGUCCCAAAUGGGUGCUCCUUGGGCCCCUUCCAUUGUCCAUGGCCUUUUCUGGGUCCACUGGACCUGCAGUAAUCAGUGAAGGCCGCUGGGUGAGGUUGUGGCAGUGGUCAUCUCUCCUGGUGGGAUAAUUCCUGGCAUUGCAUCCUUCGGAACCCAGUUCAAGGUGCUGCCCAGUAGGCUGCAUUGGGAAUCAGGGUCCUGGAAGUAAUGAAUCACCAGAUGGGCCAGUGAAGCACAGACUUGCAGUGGGUGACAAAGUUGGAGUUGGGUUGCCAAGAACAUGGUCCUGGGGCUCAGUGUAUAGGUCCUUCCUCAUGCCACACAGCUGAAUUGGCACUUAUCUUGAACUUUCCUCUGGAGUGGCCAGAACCAGAAGCUCCUUCACUUCCCAAGUGUCAUGAAAUCAUAUGGCUUUUGAGAAAAUGGCUUUAAUAUGGGUUUAUGUCCCCCACCAUAGGCCUCCCCACAGGCUUACAUGCUGGGAAAUUCUCAGUUUCUUCUUUCAGUCACCAUUUCCUGCUGCAUAGGGAGCAAAAAUGGACACCCUCCUAGAUCAUGCCUGCCUCUGGAGUCAGGGUAGUGACUAUAUUGAUGGACAGGGUGACCAAAUGUGGGCCACACCUGAGUGGUCCUGGAGUAUGAGGUUGGCCAACCUCUUUAUUUUCUACUAACAAAGAGGUCUAUAAAAACAUGAAUGACAGGUGAUGUCACUGAACAACAAAGAUGGGAGAGGACAGCUUGAAGAGCCUGGAGAGGAGCCAGGCAAUCAGAGAAAAAAUAACACUAAGAGUGGAGGAGGCCAACCUCUGUCUAGAGGGCUCUGGGAAGAGCCAGCCUGAUUUCCUUCUGGGACCUGCUCAGCAUGGAUUGUGGGUAAGAUUUGGGUAAGAUAAGGUCAGCCAUGAACUGUGUAGAAGUAGAAUGCAUUGGGGGUGCUGAUGGAACUAGAUUUGUAUUUCUGCUUUACAAAAUAUCUCUGAAUAAUUAGGUGGAAUUCCCUGAGAUUCCGUUUUCUCAUCCAGCAAAUGGGCCUAGUAAAUGAACCUUCUCAACAAUGAUAAGGUGAAGAUGUCAUGAGGUUAUAUUUGCAAAGCAGUUACAAACUAUGGAACCAAACUAGGUACUGUUCAAGAGAUGAAUUAAUAAAGAUAAUGUAAUACAUAUACAUAAUGGAAUAUUACUCAUCCUUGAAGAAUGAAAUUAUGGCAUUUAUCAGUAAAUGAAUGAAGCUAGAGAAUAUUUUGCUAAGUGAAAUAAGCCAAUCCCAAAGAACAAAAGGCCAAAUGUUUUUCUCUGAUAUGUGGAGGCUAAUGCACAAUAAGGAAGUGGAGCUAGGAAAAAAUAGAGAUACUUUGGAUUAGACAAAGGGGAGUGAAAGGGGAGAGGGGUAUGAAGGGAGGAAGAAGAGCAGAAUGAAUUGCAAAUUAUUACUCUAUGUGCAUAUAUUGUAAAGGUGACAUUGCAAUAAAUUACUGAGUUGAUUUUAAA